UACAGAGGGUGCAAGCGUUAAUCGGAAUUACUGGGCGUAAAGCGCGCGUAGGUGGUUUGUUAAGUUGGAUGUGAAAGCCCCGGGCUCAACCUGGGAACUGCAUCCAAAACUGGCAAGCUAGAGUACGGUAGAGGGUGGUGGAAUUUCCUGUGUAGCGGUGAAAUGCGUAGAUAUAGGAAGGAACACCAGUGGCGAAGGCGACCACCUGGACUGAUACUGACACUGAGAGACGAAGGCCAGGGGAGCGAAAAGG
rnacentral:misc_RNA from 1 species